rnacentral:rRNA from 1 species
UACGGGGGGCUGCAGUGGGGAAUUUUGGACAAUGGGGGAAACCCUGAUCCAGCCAUGCCGCGUGAGUGAAGAAGGCCUUCGGGUUGUAAAGCUCUUUCGGUGGGAACGAAACGGUUACCACUAAUACUGGUGACUACUGACGGUACUCACAGAAGAAGCACCGGCUAAUUACGUGCCAGCAGCCGUGGUAAUACGUAGGGUGCGAGCGUUAAUCGGAAUUACUGGGCGUAAAGCGUGCGCAGGCGGUGGCUCAAGCCAGGCGUGAAAUCCCCGGGCUUAACCUGGGAAUGGCGUUUGGGACUGGGUCGCUAGAGUGUGGCAGAGGGAGGUGGAAUUCCACGUGUAGCAGUGAAAUGCGUAGAGAUGUGGAGGAACACCGAUGGCGAAGGCAGCCUCCUGGGCCAGCACUGACGCUCAUGCACGAAAGCGUGGGGAGCAAACAGGAUUAGAUACCCUAGUAGUCAUCUUCUAGA